CGUAUUUAAAUAUAUAAUAUAUAAAAUAAUAUAAAAAAUAAUUACAUCAUCAUCACCGCCAGGUUGUUGGAAUAGCAUGUUGUCGUCAUCAUCGUCGUCGUUGUUGAUAUCGUAGCCACCAUCUUCCCCAAAUGAACCUAACUGUUGCAACAACUGUUGCCCCAGCAAAUUGUCUGAUUCCAUUUCAUUUCCCGGUUGAACAUCAUCGCCCUGACCUACUUUUUUCUUCUGGAAAUUCCAGACGCGCGGAGCUUUUUCAUAUUUUCGUUGUUUCACCCGUUCUUUGCGUUCGGCGUUCGCGCGUUUUUGCUCAAGUGACAUCGGUUUAGGACCGGGUUUCUUUUUGUGUGCGCUACCGUUCGUUGGAACAACGCAAAGAGGCAGCCGACCGCCAGUUGGCAGAAGGGACACGAGCACAACCACUCCGAAUUCAGCGUCAAAAUCAAGACCUGCUUGACGACCUUGUGCUCUCACGCAAGAAGCUUGAAGUGCAAAUGUCGAUGCACGGUCGUGAGGGCGCCAUGUUCACACAUAAGAUGUAAUGAUGAGCAUUGCUGAAAAAACACCCUCCAUAUUCUAUCCCACAUUUACAUCAGCCGCCACACAACUUGUCGGCGUGGUCUUAUCGCAAAGAUACGGCCAAGGAUUCCUUGAAGUUCAAGGCUUGAACACAUGCGGCGUUCAUUCGAUGCCUCUGCACCAGAAUACCACUGGUACUUGACAAGCGGAGCAUUCUGUUUUGACAUGAGCUUCUGGGACAAAUACUUGGCGCAACACUGUGCGGCAGGUUUUUGCCAAUUUGAAAGUCAGAUGAUUGGUUCAAACGAUUGGAAUCAUGGAUGGAAGGAGGGAACCAACACUCCCGAAGUAUCGACCACGAUCGACCGUACCUUAAUCGACAGACGUGCCCUAUUGUUGGUACUCUUGAACCGAGAUGUCCACGCAUGGCAAUUUUGCGCUCAAAUGUUUUGCCAUUACAUCUCUUUGGUGCCGACCGACAAUAUAUUCCAAAGCGAUAAUUAUGGCACUAUCUCUUAUGUCAACCUCGAAUGGAUUAUACGCUACAUGCGCAAUUCAAACUACGCACUCCAUCUUUCAUUCGGGAAGGAAUUGGUCAAAGCAAGCCAUCAAAACCCAUUUUAUGUUUCUUCAUACAUUGGCCGGGCGAAUCCGUCUUUGUUCGCUGAAUGUAAUAAUCCAAACCGUCGUUACACAUUUUAUGGUGACAACGAAGAAGUGACGAAACCAGGCCAAAUCCUGAAAGUCCACCAAUCAGCCAAAUUCCACCGGAUUUUGAUUUUAGGCCAAAAAGUAGUUGGCUGUAUGGGGCUCAGUGACAUAAGUGCUCGGUCGGACAUAAGAGCUCGGACGGUCGGUCGGACAUAAUACCAAAAAAAACUUGAAUGACAUAAGUGCUCGGACGGUCGGACCAGUCAUGUAUAUUUUAUGACAUACCAUACAUUUUAGUUUUUUACAUAUCAUUCGGUCGGACGGUCGGUAAUUGUAUCACCAUAUUCUCGAAUGAAAAGAGUGAAAUGCAAUAUCACAAACAACAAGGUUAACAAGUGACAUAAAAUUGUCGGACGGUCGGUCGGAUCGGCAGACUAACAACAAAUUCAUAAAACAAAUUUCGAUACACAGCUCACUUAUUCUUUUUGGCUCUGAAGCAUCAUUUAUUACACUGUGUUCGGGCAGGUCAGUGCUAGACCAAUGACAUAGUGGGUGUGAUCCACCUUGGUCCCCUGAUUACGAAGUGUGUGUUUUAAAAAAAUCAUCCUCAGUGACGAAGCACAUUUUUGGCUUAACGGCUUUAGAACCCCCCAAAAUAGUGUUAAGGGGGGUUUAGAGAGAAUACAAUGCUUGGUGUCUAAACGUAGUUUUUCUCAAGAAAUCCGAAUAUGUAAUUAGUUUUGGGUUUGGAGAGGGUUUGGCCCUUAUUUUGGGGGUACUUUUGGAAAUUUUCAUGAAUUUUGUAGGGGGACCCCCAUUGGGGGUGAUGGGAGGGGGUGCCCAAUGGCAAAAAUGAAAUGUGCGCAAAAAAUAAGCUAUAGUAGGUCAUACAUUUUGGUACAAAAUUCCGGACCGAAAAAGUGAAAAAUCGACUUUGAAGGAUUUGACCCCAAAUGGAGGGCACUGGGGCUAGACACAAUAGUGGAUGAGAAAAAUAUCAAUUCUAAGGUAUUUUGGCACGCUGAGUCCGAAUUUCGGGGUUUCAGGUCAAAAAAAUCACACCUUGGGGGUUUUUGACCCCCGACCCCCCUGGGGGGUGGGGGGACUUGGAGGGCAGGUGACCCAAAAAAUUUCUCUCAUCAUUCUGGACAACAUUAUAGUGCAUUAUAGUGCAUUAUAGUGCAUAAUUUUUUGGUCCGAGCAUUAAAUUGCGGUAAAGAACCAGUUUGGGUAAAGAUAGACGGGGUGUAUAUAGGGGUUUGGGUCAAAAAACGAAUGAUGCCAAUCGAUAGAGCACUGAAAAAUACCCCGGGUAUGGGUGAAGGGUCAUAUGUGUUUUUCCACUCCAAAGACCUUAAAUAUGGGUCCGAAGAGUCAAACCGGAGCACCCCCCUGGGGGGGAAGGGUACGAGAGGGGGUCAAAACCAAUGGUGCCAAUCGAUAAAGGACUGAAAAGUACCCUAGGUAGGGGUGAAGGUUCAUGUGGUGUUUUACAUCUUGGGACUGAAAUGGAAGUCUAUAUAUAUUUUGGGGGUACAAAAAUAAACAUAGCCCCCCCAAAAAGGGGGAAGGGGGGUCGGAUGAAAAAAUUAAUGAUGCAGAUCGAUAGAGCGCCCAAAAUUACUCUAGGAAUGUCACCCCUUUUGGAAUUUCGUGCUACAAAAAAAUCAAACCAGAAAUAUGAAAAGUUUCCCCCCCCCCUUGCCCAUAUGUGCUCUUGCGUCAUCAAUAAAUCGUCGAGAUUGAAAACUCCUUCUUCACAAAGGUCUGGAAGACCUCCAGCUGAAAUAAAGAAAUGAUCGGAUUAAUUUUCGAAAGUUUUAAUUAUCGUAAUGAGUUUACUUACUCGAUUUGAGGCAAUCGACCUUGGGCAGCUUUCGAUGCGAGAGAGAUGAUGUCAAUCUUCUUCUUUUUUCGGUCUAUGCAUCAAGAACAGUCUUGAUCAUAUGAUCGCGGAGGUUAUCAUUACCGUGGAAUCUUGCUUUGAAAAUAGAACAAAGAAGCGUUGUGAUUUUUAGUUUUUUAUCGUUUUAGGCAGAAAUUUUAUCGUUCUUUAUGAGAACGAAAAAAAAAGAACACACUCCAAAAUUCAAAACGGCCUACCCAUUCGCUGGACGAUGUCAAGCCAGCUAUCUCUGAGUCUCUCACCUCCAUCAUGAGGCAAGAACUCAGCGUUAGACAUAAGUCGUGCAUACCGGCGAAAUGUAUUCAUUUAGUCAUCGGCGGUCCAUUGCGACAUCAAUAAAUCAUUUAGUUCAACACAAGUCAUGG